CGAAAAUGAAACCUAGAGGCUGAACUGCUAUUGUUCGAGAGUACAUAAUGGCAAAACCAAAACUCAAACCCAGAGCUAUGGCAGAGUCUUCUGCAAGCAAUUUCUAGAGUUUUGGCCUAGCAUCAACACAUGGUUGCCCAAGACUUGUUCAAAUUGGAGGAAUAGAAGGAUGUUUGCUCACUCCUUCUUGUGAGAGCACCUGAAUUACAAUUAACUGCUGAACAAUCAUUGACAAGAAGACACUGGAACUCACCAGAAAAUAUACCCCACAUUCAAAGGCGAAGGAGAAGCCACAAUUAGAUGAUAGGAGGGGCACAAUCAUGAUAAAAUCAAAUCUCAUAACCACUGGAUGGGUGAAUCACAAACUGGAGAACAAUUAUACCAGAGAAAUCCACUCAUUUGAGUGAAGGUUCUGAGCCACACAUCAGGCUUCCCAACCUGGGGGUCCAGAAAGGAGAGGAGGAAUCCCCAGAGAACUGGACUAUUAAGGCCAGCAGGAUUUGAUUGCAGGACUUUGACAAGACUGGGGGAAACAGAGACUCCACUCUUGGAGGGUACACACAAAAUCUUCUGUGCACCAGGACCCAGGGGGAAGGAUCAGUGACCACAUAGGAGAUGGAACCAGACCUACCUGCUAAUGUUGGAGUGUCUACUGUGGAGGUAGGGGGCAGCUGUGGCUCAUCACGGGACAAGGACACUGACAGCAGAAGUUCUGGGAAGUACUCAUUUUUGUGAGCCAUCAAAGAGUCUGCCAUUAGACUCACCAAAGAGCCAGUUGGCUCCAGUACUGGGUCAUCUCAGGCCAAACAGCCAACAGCAAGGGAACACAGUCCCAUGCAUCAGCAGACAAGUGGAUUAAAGUUAUACUGAGCUCUGCCCACCAGAGCAACACCCAGAUCUACCCACCACAAGUUCCUCUACCCACCAUCAAGAAGCUUGUACAAGCCUCUUAGAUAGCCUCAUCCACCAAAGGGCAGACAGCAGAAGCAAGAAGAACUACAAUCCUGCAGCCUGUGGAACAAAACCCACAAUCAUAGAAAGAUAGAUAAAAUGAAAAGGCAGAGGAUUAAGUUCCCAGAUAAAAGAACAAGAUAAAACCCCAGAAAAACAACUAAAUGAAGUGGAGAUAGGUGACAUUCCAGAAAAAUAAUUCAAAAUAAUAAGAGUGAAGAUGAUCCAGGACCUCGGAAAAAGAAUGGAGGCAAGGAUCAAGAAGAUGCAAAAAAUGUUUAACAAAGAUGUAGAAGAAUUAAAGAACAAACAAACAGAGAUGAAUAAUACAAUAACUGAAAUGAAAAAUACAUUAGAAGGAAUCAAUAGCAGAAUAACUUAGACAGAAGAACGGAUAAGUGACCUGGAAGACAGAAUGGUGGAAAUCACUGCUGUGGAACAGAAUAAAGAAAAAAGAAUGAACAGAAAUGAAGACAGCCUAAGAGACCUCUGGGACAACAUUAAAUGCAACAACAUUCACAUUAUAGGGGUCCCAGAAGGAGAAGAGAGAGAGAAAGGACCUGAGAAAAUAUUUGAAGAGGUUAGAGUAAAAAACUUCCCUAACACAGGAAAGGAAAUAGCCACCCAAGUCCAGGAAGCACAGAGAAUGCCAGGCAUGAUAAACCCAGGAGAAACAUGCCAAGAUACAUAGUAAUCAAAAUGACAAAAAUUAAAGACAAAAAAUAUUAUUAAGAGUAUCAAGGGAAAAGCAACAAAUAAUAUACAAGGUAAUCCUUAUAAGGUAAUCAGCUGAUUUUCAGCAGAAACUCUACCAGCCAAAAGGGAGUGACAGGACAUAUUUAAAGUGAUGAAAGGGAAAAGUCUACAACCAAGAAUACUCUACCCUGCAAGGCUCUCAUUCAGAUUUGAUGGAGAAAUCAAAAGUUUUACAGACAAGCAAAAGCUAAGAGAAUUCAGCACCACCAGACCAUCUUUGCAACAAAUGCUAAAGGAAAUCCUCUAGGUGGGAAAGAGACUAGCAACUUAAAACAACCUUGUACAUAUAUAGACUGUUGCAUCAAAACCUCAUGGGAACAGCAAACCCCAAACUACAAUACAUACACACACACAAAAGAAAAAGCAACCCAAACACAACACUAAAGAUGGCAUCAAACCACAAGAGAAGGGAACAAAAGAGGAAGGAAAGAAAAAAAGACCUACAAAAACAAACUCAAAAUAAUUAAGAAAAUGGCAAUAGGAACACACAUAUUGAUAAUUACUUAAAUGUAAAUGGAUUAAAUGCACCAACCAAAAGACAUAGACUGGCUGAAUGAAUACAAAUAUAAGACCCAUAUAUAUGCUGUCUACAAGAGACCCACCUCAGAUCUAGGGACACAUACAGACUGAAAGUGAGGGGAUGGAAGAAGGUAUUCCAUGCAAAUAGAAAUCAAAACAAAGCUGGAGUAGCAAUACUCAUAUCAGACAAAAUAGACUUAAAAAUAAAGACUGUUAUAAGAGACAAAGAAGGACACUACAUAACAACCAAGGGAUCAAUCCAAGAAGAAGACAUAACAAUUGUAAACAUAUAUGCGCCAAAUAUAGUAGCACCUAAAUAUAUAAGGCAAAUAUUAAUUAGCCAUAAAGGGAGAAAUCAACAGUAACACAAUAAUAGUGGGGAACUUUAACAUCCCACUUUCAUCAAUGGACAGAUCAUCUGAACAGAAAAUCAAUAAGGAAACACAGGCCUUAAAUGAAACUUUAGACCAGAUGGACUUAAUCAAUAUUUAUACAGCACUCUAUCCCAAAGUAGAAGAAUAUACAUUCUUCUCAAGUGCACAUGGAACAUUAUCCAGGAUUGACCACAUCCUGGGCCACAAAGUGAGCUUCCAUAAAUUUAAGAAAAUUGAAAUCAUAUAAAGUAUGUUUUUCAACCACAAUGCUGAGAUUAGAAAUAAACUACAAGAAAAAAACUAUAAAAAAUACAAACACAGGCUUCCCUGGUGGCACAGUGGUUGAGAGUCUGCCUGCUGAUGUGGGGGACACGGGUUCAUGCCCCAGUCUGGGAAGAUCCCACAUGCCACUGAGCGGCUGGGCCCGUGAGCCAUGGCCUCUGAGCCUGCACAUCUGGAGCCUGUGCUCUGCAACGGGAGAGGCCACGACAGUGAGAGGUCCGUGUAGUGCAAAAAAUAAAAAAAUAAAAAAUACAAACACGUGAAGGCUAAACAAUAUAUUACUAAAUAACCAAUGGAUCACUGAAGAAACCAAAAAGGAAAUAAAAAAUGUACCUAGAGACAAAUGAAAAUGAAAACACAAUGAUCCAAAACCUAUGGGAUACAGCAAAAGCAUUUCUAAGAAAAAAGGAAAGAAUUUCAUAGGAAUACAGGUCCCAAUACAGGAAACAAGAAAAAUCUCAAGUAAACAACCUAACCUUACACCUAAAGCAACUAGAGAAAGAAAAAGAAACAAAACUCAAAGUUAGUAGAAGGAAAGAGAUCAUAAAAAUCAGAGCAGAAAUAAAUGAAACCGAGACAAAUAAGACAAUGAAAAAGAUCAAUGAAACUAAAAGCUGGUUCUUUGAAAAGAUAAACAAUAUUGGUAAACUUUUAUCCAGACUCAUCAAGAAAAAAGAGGGGAGACAAUUCAAAUCAAUAAAAUAAUAAAUGAAAAAGGAGAAGUUAAAACUGACACCACAGAAAUACAAAGGAUCAUAAGAGACUACUAUAUGCAACUGUAUGCCAAUAAAAUGGACAACCUGGAAGAAAUGGACAAAUUCUUAGAAAUGUAGUCUCCCAAGACUGAACCAGGAAGAAUUAGAAAACAUGAACAGACUAAUCACAAGCACUGAAAUUGAAACUGAUAUUAAAAAACUCCCAACAAACAAUAUUACAGGACCAAAUGUCUUCACAAGCAAAUUCUAUCAAACAUUUAGAGAAGAGCUAACACCUAUAGUUCUGAAACUGUUCCAAAAAUUGCAGAGGAAGGAAAAUUCCCAAACUCAUUCUUUGAUGCCAUCACCCUGAUACCAAAACAAGACAAAGAUACAGCUAAAAAGGAAAAUUAUAGGCCAAUAUCACUGAUGAACAUAGAUGCAAAAAUCCUCAACAGAGGGCUUCCCUGGUGGCGCAGUGGUUGAGAGUCCGCCUGCCGAUACAGGAGACAUGGGUUCAUGCCCCAGUCCAGGAAGAUCCCACAUGCCGUGGAGCGGCUAGGCCCAUGAGCCAUGACCGCUGAGCCUGCGUGUCUGGAGCCUGUGCUCCGCAACGGAAGAGGCCACAACAAUGAGAGGGCUGCAUACCGCAAAAAAAAAAAAAAAAAAAAAAAAAAAAUCCUCAACAGAAUACUAGGAAUUUGAAUCCAACAACACAUUAAAAGGACCAUACACCAUGAUCAAGUGGGAUUUAUCCCAGGGUUGCAAGGAUUUUUCAAUAUAUGCAAAUCAGUGUGAUACACCAUAUCAACAAAUUGAAGAAUAAAAACCAUAUGAUCAUCUCAAUAGCUGCAAGAAAAGCUUUUGACAAGAUUCAACAGUCAUUUAUGAUAAAAACUCUCCAGAAAGUGGGCAUAGGAGGAACCUACCUCAAUAUAAUAAAGGCCAUAUACGACACCCCACAGCAAACAUCAUUCUCAAUGGUGAAAACCUGAAAGCAUUACCUCUAAGAUCAGGAACAAGACAAGGAUGUCCACUCUCACCACUAUUAUUCAACAUAGUUUUGGAAGUCCUAGCUACGGCAAUCAAAGAAGAAAAAGAAACAAAAGGAAUCCAAAUUGGAAAAGAAGAAGUAAAACUGUCACUGUUUGCAGGUGACAUGAUACUAUGCAUAGAAAAUCCUAAAGAUGCCAGCAGAAAACUACUGUAGCUAAUCAAUGAAUUUGGUAAAUUUGCAAGCUAUAUAAUUAAUACACAGAAAUCUGUUGUAUUUCUAUACACUAACAAUGAAAGAUCAGAAAGAGAAAUUCAAUAAACAAUCCCAUUUACCAUUGCACCAAAAAGAAUAAAAUACCUAGGAAUAAACCUACCUAAUGAGACAAAAACCUGUAUUCCGAAAACUAUAAGAUGCUGAGGAAAGAAAUCAAAGAAGAUACAUACAGAUGGAAAGAUAUACCAUAUUCUUGGGCUGGAAGAAUAAAUCUUCUCAAAAUGGCUAUACUACCCAAGGCAAUCUACAGAUUCAAUGUAACUCUAUCAAAUUACCAAUGGCAUUUUUCACAGAAAUAGGACAAAAAUCUUAAAAUUUGUAUGGAGACACAAAAGACCCUGAAUAGCCAAAACAAUCUUGAGAAAGAAAAGUGGAGCUGGAGGAAUCAGGCUCCCUGACUGACUUCAGACUAUACUACAAAGCUAUAGUCAUCAAAACAGUAUGGUACUGGCACAAAAAUAGAGCUAUAGAUCAAGGGAACAAGAUAGAAAGCCCAGAAAUAAACCCAUUCACCUAUGGUCAAUUAAUCUACAACAAAGGAGGCAAGACUAUACAAUGGUGGAAAGACAGUCUUUUUAAAAAAUGUGCUGGGAAAACUGGACAGCUACAUGUAAAAAAAUGAUAUUAGAUCAUUCUUUAAUAGUAUGAACAAAAAUAAGUUUAAAAUGGAUUAAAGACCUAAAAGUGAGACCAGACACUAUAAAACUCCUAGAGGAAAACAUAGGCAGAACACUCUGAAAUAACUCGCAGCAAUAUCAUUUCUAAUCCGACUUCCAAAGUAAUGGAAAUAAAAACAAAAAUAAACAAAUGGGACUUAAUUAAACUCAAAAGCUUUUGCAGAGUAAAGGAAACCAUAAACAAAAUGAGAAGACAACCCAGAGAUUGGAAGAAAAUAUUUGAAAUGAUGUGACUGACAAGAUAUUAGUCUCCAAAAUUUACAAACAGCUCAUGUGGCUUAAUAUCAUCAAAACAAGCAACCCAAUCAAAAAUGGGUGGAAGACCUAAACAGACAUUUUUCCAAGGAAGACAUAUAGAUGGCCAAGAGGCACAAGAAAAGAUGCUCAAUAUAGCUAAUGAUUAGAGAAAUGCAAAUCAAAACUACAGUGAGGUAUUGCCUCACACCAGUCAAAAUGGCUAUCAACAAAAAAUCCACAAACAGUAAAUGCUGGAGAGGAUGUGGAGAGAAGGAAACCCUCCUACACUGUUGGUGGGAAUGUAGAUUGGCACAGCCACUGUGGAGAACAGUUCAGAGGUUUCUUAAAAAAACUAAAAAUAGAGCUACCAUAUGACCCUGCAAUCCCACUCCUGGGCAUAUAUCCAGAGAAGAGCCUGGCCCAAAAGGAUACAUGAACCCCAAUGUUCAUUGCAGCACUGUUUACAAUAGCCAAGACAUGGAAACAACCUAAAUGUCCAUUGACAGAGGAAUGGGUAAAGAUGUGGUACAUAUAUAGAAUGGAAUAUUACUCAGCCACAUAAAAAUAUUGAAAUAAUGCCAUUUGCAGCCACAUGGAUCGACCUAGAGACUGCCGUACUGAGUAAAGUAAGUCAGACAGAGAAAGAGAAAUAUCAUAUGAUAUCAGUUAUAUGUAGAAUCUAAAAAUAAAUGAUAAAAAUGAACGUAUUUACAAAACAGAAACAGACUUAGAGAAUGAACUUAUGGUUACUGGGGUGGAGGGAAGGGAUAGUUAAGGAGUUUGGGACUGACAUGUACACACUGCUAUAUUUACAAAGGAUAACCAACAAGGACCUACUGUAUAACACAGCAAAGUCUGCUCAAUGUUAUGUGGCAGCCUGGAUGAGAUGGGAGUCUGGGGGAGAAUGGAUACAUGUUUAUGUAUGACUGAGUCACUUUGCUCUGCACCUGAAACUAUCACAACAUUGUUAAUCAGCUCUACUCCAAUAUAAAAUUAAAAGUUAAAAAUAAA